GACGAGCGCUGGCGGCGUGCUUAACACAUGCAAGUCGAACGGAAAGGCCUCUUUCGGGGGGUACUCGAGUGGCGAACGGGUGAGUAACACGUGAGUAACCUGCGCUUGACUUUGGGAUAACUUCAGGAAACUGGGGCUAAUACCGGAUAGGAGCUCCUGCUGCAUGGUGGGGGUUGGAAAGUUUCGGCGGUUGGGGAUGGACUCGCGGCUUAUCAGCUUGUUGGUGGGGUAGUGGCUUACCAAGGCUUUGACGGGUAGCCGGCCUGAGAGGGUGACCGGCCACAUUGGGACUGAGAUACGGCCCAGACUCCUACGGGAGGCAGCAGUGGGGAAUAUUGCACAAUGGGUGGAAGCCUGAUGCAGCAACGCCGUGUGCGGGAUGACGGCCUUCGGGUUGUAAACCGCUUUCGCUCAUGACGAAGCUUUGUGUGACGGUAGUGGGUAAAGAAGCACCGGCUAACUACGUG
rnacentral:rRNA from 1 species